CUUGGAUCGGGACAGUAGUACCUCUUCCAUGCAGCUGACCACAGCCAGGGUGGAACAGAAGCAUUAACGGCUGACCUCAGAGGCUGAGGAUGUAUUGCAUGACUUGGCAUGCAUAUGGCGCGAGAAGAGAGUGUGGGUGUGUGCCAGAGAAAUAGAGUACAUAAUAUUCACACUUUAAACGAGGAAAUGCUACUUUUUACAUUUUUUCGCUGGAAGGGAACAUCUCCUGACUGUGAGGACAGCUCUGCCGGU
rnacentral:lncRNA from 1 species